rnacentral:rRNA from 1 species
GAUGAACGCUGGCGGCGUGCUUAACACAUGCAAGUCGAACGGUCAAGGCGGAGCUUUCUCUGCUGGAUCAGUGGCGAACGGGUGAGUAACACGUGAGCAAUCUGCCCCUGACUCUGUGAUAAGCUCUGGAAACGGCGUCUCAUACUGUAUACGAGCUGCUAAUGCAUCUUCAGCAUCUGUAAAGAAUUUCGGUCGGGGAUGGGCUCGCGGGGUAUCAGCUUGUUGGUGAGGUAAUGGCUCACCAAGGGGUCGACGGGUAGCCGGCAUGAGAGGGUGACCGGCCACAAUGGGACUGAGACACGGACCAGAAGGCUACGGGAGGCAGCAGUGGGGAAUAUUGCAGAAUGGGCGAAAGCCUGAUGCAGCAACGCCGCGUGAGGGAAGACGGCCUUCGGGUUGUAAACCUAUUUUAGAAGGGAAGAAGAGAAAGUGACGGUACCUGAAGAAAAAGCGCCGGCUAACUACGUG